rnacentral:rRNA from 1 species
UACGUAGGUCCCGAGCGUUAUCCGGAUUUAUUGGGUUUAAAGGGAGCGUAGGCGGGUUGUUAAGUCAGUUGUGAAAGUUUGCGGCUCAACCGUAAAAUUGCAGUUGAUACUGGCAUCCUUGAGUACAGUAGAGGUAGGCGGAAUUCGUGGUGUAGCGGUGAAAUGCUUAGAUAUCACGAAGAACUCCGAUUGCGAAGGCAGCCUGCUGGACUGUAACUGACGCUGAUGCUCGAAAGUGUGGGUAUCAAACAGG